rnacentral:rRNA from 1 species
CCUAACACAUGCAAGUCGAACGAGCGAGAGAGAGCUUGCUUCCUCAAGCGAGUGGCGAACGGGUGAGUAACGCGUGAGGAACCUGCCUCAAAGAGGGGGACAACAGUUGGAAACGACUGCUAAUACCGCAUAAGCCCACGACCCGGCAUCGGGUAGAGGGAAAAGGGGCAAUCCGCUUUGAGAUGGCCUCGCGUCCGAUUAGCUAGUUGGUGAGGUAACGGCCCACCAAGGCGACGAUCGGUAGCCGGACUGAGAGGUUGAACGGCCACAUUGGGACUGAGACACGGCCCAGACUCCUACGGGAGGCAGCAGUGGGGAAUAUUGCACAAUGGGGGAAACCCUGAUGCAGCGACGCCGCGUGGAGGAAGAAGGUCUUCGGAUUGUAAACUCCUGUUGUUGAGGAAGAUAAUGACGGUACUCAACAAGGAAGUGACGGCUAACUACGUGCCAGCAGCCGCGGUAAAACGUAGGUCACAAGCGUUGUCCGGAAUUACUGGGUGUAAAGGGAGCGCAGGCGGGAAGACAAGUUGGAAGUGAAAUCCAUGGGCUCAACCCAUGAACUGCUUUCAAAACUGUUUUUCUUGAGUAGUGCAGAGGUAGGCGGAAUUCCCGGUGUAGCGGUGGAAUGCGUAGAUAUCGGGAGGAACACCAGUGGCGAAGGCGGCCUACUGGGCACCAACUGACGCUGAGGCUCGAAAGUGUGGGUAGC